GUGGGGAAUAUUGGACAAUGGGGGGAACCCUGAUCCAGCCAUGCCGCGUGUGUGAAGAAGGCCUUUUGGUUGUAAAGCACUUUAAGCGAGGAGGAGGCUACCGAGAUUAAUACUCUUGGAUAGUGGACGUUACUCGCAGAAUAAGCACCGGCUAACUCUGUGCCAGCAGCCGCGGUAAUACAGAGGGUGCAAGCGUUAAUCGGAUUUACUGGGCGUAAAGCGCGCGUAGGUGGCCAAUUAAGUCAAAUGUGAAAUCCCCGAGCUUAACUUGGGAAUUGCAUUCGAUACUGGUUGGCUAGAGUAUGGGAGAGGAUGGUAGAAUUCCAGGUGUAGCGGUGAAAUGCGUAGAGAUCUGGAGGAAUACCGAUGGCGAAGGCAGCCAUCUGGCCUAAUACUGACACUGAGGUGCGAAAGCAUGGGGAGCAAACAGGAUUAGAUACCCCGGUAGUCU
rnacentral:rRNA from 1 species